rnacentral:pre_miRNA from 1 species
CUCUGACUCUAUUUUGUCGGCGAACAUGGAUCUAGUGCACGGUUGUUCAUGAUUAAGUUCGUGACUAGAUUUCAUGCUCGUCUAUUAAGUUGGGUCAA